UUCAGUGAUUAAAGCAAACGUACCAGAAGAGUCUUUUAUUUUGAAAUACGUUCACAAACAUAUGCGCUGGGUCCAUUGAUUCGCGCUAUACGAGUCCACCGAAGAUGUUUCAUGAACGUAAUGCUAGAAUUACUCUAUUAAGGUCGGAAUUUACCAUUUCACUUCAUAAAAAUGUCCUGAAGAGGUUUCUGCCGCCGGAGAGCCAGCUAAAGGAUUACAAGUGUGAAAAUGAGCGGCUUUGAGUGAGAGAAACUGCGGCCUUAUCCACAGUGAGGCACAGUGCACAAAUGGCUUCAGAAUACCUGAACAUAUCAGCCAAAGAUGCCGAGACUUCCAUUAAGCAGUUGAUGACAAGAAGAGAGACUAUGCCUGCUGGGUUCCAUUGAGAAGAUCACAGAGAUUCCAAAAUAACAAACAGAUUAUUUUAAAUCAGUGUUUUGUGCCUUUGUUCAUUUCAUUUAAUGUUUGCUCUUCUUUUUUGUUUCUUGCACAUAAUGAAAUGCCUUUUGCACAUAGUUAAUGCAAUUAGUGUUAUUCUCUUUUACAGUUAUCAUACUACAAUCCCUUUUCAAAAACAUGUUGCGACGCUGUGCAAAAUGUCAAGGAAAACAGAAAUCAAUGAUGUGCAAAUCAUUUAAACCCUAUAUUUAAUUAAAAUAGUACAAAUACAGCAUAUCAAAUGUUGAAAUUGAGAAAUUUCAUGGUUUCUUGAAAAAUAUAUGCUCAAUUUGAAUUUGAUGACAGCAACACAUCAUUGGUGCCUUCACAGACGUGCACUAAUGCAUCCCUGUAGCAUCACAGAUACUGAUUUUCAAACUGUGCGCUCAUAACAAGCCAGAUGAUCCCUGUUCUCCUUAGCCCAGAGGAUGCGUUAAUGUAUUAAAUUUUGAUGCUUUGGAUCACAGGACACUUGUCCACUUUGGUUUGGGUCCAAAGAAGCCAGCGUUUUUUUCUGGAUCCUGUUUAUAAAUGGCUUCUUCGUGUGGUAGAGUUUUAACUUGCAUUUGUAGAUGCAGUGACAAACUGUGUUCACAAACAGUGGGUU